GCAAGAGUGGCUGCAAACUUCUCCCAUUCCAUUCAUUUUCACUCCAAGAAAGUGCUAAGGCAAGAAAGUGCUCUCACUCUCUUCUCCCCUCUCCAUUUUCGUCCCUCCACAUCUCCCCCACUCCCAAGACUCUUCUCCCACCAUUAUCACACUCCAUAGAAGCCCUUGAAGCCCCAAGAGGAGUAUCAAAGCAAGGGAGAGCAUGGGAAAACUAGGGCGUAAAGUUAGAGUGAAGGUUGUGCUUCGAGGGAAUUGGUUCACAGGACGGUACCACCGCUUAAGAUCACCUCUCUUCCACACUGAGGAUCAGGUUGAGCAGUGGCUGAUGGAGAUGUAGUGAAGAGUGGAGCUUUUGUCAUAGGUUAAAUGAAUGAACUCUUGGAUACAUGUCUCCAUACAUGUAAUCAGAUUAUGUUAUUCCGC